rnacentral:rRNA from 1 species
GAUGAACGCUGGCGGCGUGCCUAAUACAUGCAAGUCGAGCGAACAGACGAGGAGCUUGCUCCUCUGAUGUUAGCGGCGGACGGGUGAGUAACACGUGGAUAACCUACCUAUAAGACUGGGAUAACUUCGGGAAACCGGAGCUAAUACCGGAUAACAUGUUGAACCGCAUGGUUCAACAGUGAAAGACGGUCUUGCUGUCACUUAUAGAUGGAUCCGCGCCGCAUUAGCUAGUUGGUAAGGUAACGGCUUACCAAGGCAACGAUGCGUAGCCGACCUGAGAGGGUGAUCGGCCACACUGGAACUGAGACACGGUCCAGACUCCUACGGGAGGCAGCAGUAGGGAAUCUUCCGCAAUGGGCGAAAGCCUGACGGAGCAACGCCGCGUGAGUGAAGAAGGUCUUCGGAUCGUAAAACUCUGUUAUUAGGGAAGAACAAAUGUGUAAGUAACUCUGCACGUCUUGACGGUACCUAAUCAGAAAGCCACGGCUAACUACGUG